AUUGAACGCUGGCGGCAGGCCUAACACAUGCAAGUCGAACGAGUGGCGGACGGGUGAGUAAUGUCUGGGAAACUGCCUGAUGGAGGGGGAUAACUACUGGAAACGGUAUCUAAUACCGCAUACCAUCGGAUGUGCCCAGAUGGGAUUAGCUAGUAGGUGGGGUAAAGGCUCACCUAGGCGACGAUCCCUAGCUGGUCUGAGAGGAUGACCAGCCACACUGGAACGGAGACACGGUCCAGACUCCUACGGGAGGCAGCAGUAGGGAAUAUUACACAAUGGGCGAAAGCCUGAUGCAGCCAUGCCGCGUGAAUGAAGAAGGCCUUCGGGUUGUAAAGUACUUUCAGCGGGGAGGCGUUACCCACAGAAGCAGCACCGGCUAACUCCGUGCCAGCAGCCGCGGUAAUUC
rnacentral:rRNA from 1 species